rnacentral:lncRNA from 1 species
AGUCCUCGCUAGGGUUUCCUCGCUCCCCGCCGCCGCCGCCGCCUCGCCAACGCGCAGCAGCCGCAGCAAGCGCAUCGCCCUCUCGUUCUCAGCUAUGGCGGAGGUGGAGCAGCCGCAGCAGGAGGUGAAGCUCUUCAACCGCUGGACCUUCGAUGAUGUCCAGGUACGCGAAUGGCUCUUCAUCUCUUCCGCUUCGAUUCUCUAGCCUGCUGCUGCUGCUAGCAGUGGAUUGAACUUGUGCAAUGGGAUCUCCAGGUGAACGACAUCUCGCUGAACGACUACCUGGCGGUGUCGGCGAUGAAGCACGCGACGUACCUGCCCCACACCGCGGGCCGCUACUCGAAGAAGCGCUUCCGCAAGGCGCAGUGCCCCAUCGUCGAGCGCCUUACCAACUCGCUGAUGAUGCACGGCCGCAACAACGGCAAGAAGGUCAUGGCCGUCCGCAUCAUGAAGCACACCUUGGAGAUCAUUCACCUGCUCACCGACUCCAACCCCAUCCAGGUCGUCGUGGAUGCCAUCAUCAACAGGUACCCUUUAGUCCUCCUGCCCUCCCUCUUUCUGAAUCAUUGUGCUUGUGCCCUUAGUCUAAAACUGAUUUUUAGUGUUAUUUGAUUGGACCUCGAUGUCGAAUUAUAAAUUAGUUUCAUGCUAGCUUUACUCAGUUAAUCGAUUGUUUCUGAUAGCGUGACCAUGCUGAGCUGUUGAGAUUCAAAAUAAAUGUGUUAGCGCAAAAUUCUCAAGAGUCAAGUCAAAUCCUGUUGUUGCUAAUGCAUAAGCAAAUCUUUAAGCUGAGUGCUACUGGUUGUUUUGGACAUGGAAGGUCGACUCAUGGAUAGUUAAUCAAUAUCACUUAAUUGUUGCCAUUCAAAAUGCCAUUUGUUGUCUAGUGUAUGAUCUGAGACUUCUUAGUCAUUUGUUUACAUUGUGCUUGGUAGUUAUUGUGGCAUUAAACUUCUAUCAAGAAAAUCUCUGUAGCUAUUGUUUACAGGUUGGUUCUGAGAUUUCAAACUAACAGGAGGUGCUGCUAUGUCUUGCAGUGGGCCACGUGAGGAUGCCACCCGUAUUGGUUCUGCUGGUGUUGUGAGGAGGCAGGCUGUGGAUAUCUCACCCCUGAGGAGGGUUAACCAGGCCAUCUACCUCCUCACCACUGGUGCCAGGGAGAGUGCUUUCAGGAACAUCAAGACCAUUGCUGAGUGCCUUGCAGAUGAAUUGAUCAACGCCGCCAAGGGCUCAUCC